UACGUAGGGGGCAAGCGUUGUCCGGAUUUAUUGGGCGUAAAGAGCGUGUAGGCGGCCUGUCAGGUCUGCUGUGAAAACUCGAGGCUCAACCUCGAGAUGUCGGCGGAAACCGUCUGGCUAGAGUCCGGAAGAGGAGAGUGGAAUUCCUGGUGUAGCGGUGAAAUGCGCAGAUAUCAGGAAGAACACCUGUGGCGAAGGCAGCUCUCUGGGACGGUACUGACGCUGAGACGCGAAAGCGUGGGGAGCGAACAGG
rnacentral:rRNA from 1 species